UGGGUAUAAACAAACGUUACCCAAAUUUGUCUAAUCGAGCUAGACUUGGGUCAGUACACGCAUUAAUUUUCAUAAAAAUAGCAACCCUUCGGCUAAACAGGAUUCUGAUUAUCAUAUUGAGCGACAUCAAAAUCAUGGGAGUUUCUGCAAAGUGCAUUAAACCAUAUUACCUUGUAGCACUAUUUCAUGACCUAAACAUCGCACAGAGACACUUAUGUAAGUUUUCUACUCACAUUGGUCGUUCAGACAUGCACCUCCCGCCGCGGGAGCGGCAGAUCAAAGUCAUAAUCAGGAGAUUAUGGUAUUGUGUCAAUGUAUUGACGAAGUUCUUAUUAAUAUUAUAUUACCAAUAUAUUAUUUAAUAACAUUAAAAGAUAUCAGGGUCGUAGACACUAGCAGAAUCGUUGUAACUGUACUACAGUAUGUGUAUAUUGAAAGUGUAUAAUUAGUGCAAGUGUAAGUUAAAGGCACAGUUCAGCCUUUUGAACGAUGGCUUUUAAGGCGCAUUUCAGACCUUUUAAUUGAAAAAACUAACUAGGAAAAUCAAUUAAGUAUAAUUCAAAAUCAGUAAACUCGA